GACGAACGCUGGCGGCGUGCCUAAUACAUGCAAGUCGAACGCAGUGGGGACGGGUGAGUAACACGUGGGUAACCUCCCAUCAGAGGGGAUAACACUUGGAAACAGGUGCUAAACCGAUAUUGCUGGAGGGACCCGCGGUGGAUGAGCUCGUUGGUGGGGUAACGGCGCACCAAGGCCGCGAUGCAUAGCCGGCCGGCGGGGGUGAUCGGCCACACGGCGACGUAGACACGGCCAAGCCGCCUACGGGAGGCAGCAGGAGGGAAUCGUCGGCAAUGGACGAAAGUCGGACCGAGCAAUGCAGCGUGAGUGAAGAAGGUUGUCGGAUCUUAGACCUCUGUUGUUAGAGAAGGGGUAUCUAACCAGAAAGCCACGGCUAACUACGUGCCAGCAGCCGCGGUAAUUC
rnacentral:rRNA from 1 species